UACGUAGGGGGCAAGCGUUGUCCGGAAUCAUUGGGCGUAAAGAGCGCGUAGGCGGCCCGGUAAGUCCGCUGUGAAAGUCAAGGGCUCAACCCUUGAAUGCCGGUGGAUACUGUCGGGCUAGAGUCCGGAAGAGGCGAGUGGAAUUCCCGGUGUAGCGGUGAAAUGCGCAGAUAUCGGGAGGAACACCAAUGGCGAAGGCAGCUCGCUGGGACGGUACUGACGCUGAGACGCGAAAGCGUGGGGAGCAAACAGG
rnacentral:rRNA from 1 species